AUACUUACCCGGCAGGGGAGAUACCAUGAUCACGAAGGUGGUUUUCCCAGGGCGAGGCUUAUCCAUUGCACUCCGGAUGUGCUGACCCCUGCGAUUUCCCCAAAUGUGGGAAACUCGACUGCAUAAUUUGUGGUAGUGGGGGACUGCGUUCGCGCUCUCCCCUG
rnacentral:snRNA from 1 species